GCCCCCGUAGCUCAAUUGGCAGAGCUGCGCACUCUUAAUGCGCGGGUUGCAGGUUCAAAUCCUGCCGGGGGCA
rnacentral:tRNA from 1 species